GAAAAGUGGUGUCAGCUGUGACAUAAGUACACCGUUCGUAUGAACGUGUACAGUCUCUGAAAGUAUGCAUGCCAAUGGAGAGAAAAGGGCUAAGUAAAGGUUACCAUAAGAAGUGAUUUCCCAACCUUGCGAAGUCCAUGGACAGUUUGGCCUUAAACCGAUCUGACAACUAGGUACCACCAAGCCUACUUCUGGUUCUGAAAAAUAACGCAAUAUAGCAAUGGAUCGUCGUAACGUCCAAACUUCCGCAUAUCCGGGAGUACUCUGCACCGAUAGAUAGCGCAAUUACGUUAAAAUGCAUUAUCAUCCGAUGGUAGCUGCACGCGACGAAGAAGAAGGAGAAAGAUUAAAAGAACGAAGAGCGGAACGAGGUGCUUUGAAAAAUCGAGAAAUCGUCACUGUGCAGUCGAAUUAAUGUUUUUAUUGUACCAAUCCAGA